UACGUAGGGGGCAAGCGUUGUCCGGAUUUAUUGGGCGUAAAAGGCUUGUAGGUGGCCACGCCAAGUCGGAUGUGAAAUCUCCCGGCUCAACUGGGAGGGGUCAUUCGAUACUGGCGGGCUCGAGGCCGGUAGGGGGAAGUGGAAUUCCAGGUGUAGCGGUGAAAUGCGUAGAUAUCUGGAGGAACACCGGUGGCGAAGGCGACAUCCUGGACCGGUAUUGACGCUGAGGCGCGAAAGCCAGGGGAGCAAACGGG
rnacentral:rRNA from 1 species